UACGUAGGGCGCAAGCGUUGUCCGGAAUUAUUGGGCGUAAAGAGCUCGUAGGCGGUCUGUCGCGUCCGUUGUGAAAACUCGAGGCUCAACCUCGGGCUUGCAGUGGAUACGGGCAGACUAGAGUGCGGUAGGGGAGACUGGAAUUCCUGGUGUAGCGGUGGAAUGCGCAGAUAUCAGGAGGAACACCGAUGGCGAAGGCGGUUCUCUGGGCCUGUACUGACGCUGAGGAGCGAAAGCGUGGGGAGCGAACAGG
rnacentral:rRNA from 1 species